ACGUAGGUGGCAAGCGUUGUCCGGAUUUAUUGGGUUUAAAGGGUGCGUAGGCGGUUUUAUAAGUCAGUGGUGAAAUACAAUAGCUUAACUAUUGAGGUGCCAUUGAUACUGUAAGACUUGAGUACAGACGAGGUAGGCGGAAUUGACGGUGUAGCGGUGAAAUGCUUAGAUAUCGUCAAGAACACCGAUAGCGAAGGCAGCUUACUAGACUGUAACUGACGCUGAGGCACGAAAGUGUGGGGAUCAAACAGGAUUAGAUACCCUGGUAGUCCACACUGUAAACGAUGAUUACUCGAUGUUGGCGAUACACAGCCAGCGUCUUAGCGAAAGCGAUAAGUAAUCCACCUGGGGAGUACGCCCGCAAGGGUG
rnacentral:rRNA from 1 species